AGUUUGAUCCUGGCUCAUGAUGAACGCUGGCGGCGUGCUUAACACAUGCAAGUCGAACGAAGCACUUUUGAUUGAGACUUCGGUGGAUUGAGGAAGUGACUGAGUGGCGGACGGGUGAGUAACGCGUAGGCAACCUGCCUUGUACAGGGGGACAGCAGUUGGAAACGACUGCUAAUACCGCAUAAGCGCACAGCUUCGCAUGAAGCAGUGUGAAAAACUCCGGUGGUACAAGAUGGGCCCGCGUAGGAUUAGCUAGUUGGUGGGGUAACGGCCUACCAAGGCGACGAUCCAUAGCCGACCUGAGAGGGUGACCGGCCACAUUGGGACUGAGACACGGCCCAAACUCCUACGGGAGGCAGCAGUGGGGAAUAUUGCACAAUGGGCGCAAGCCUGAUGCAGCGACACCGCGUGAGCGAUGAAGUAUUUCGGUAUGUAAAGCUCUAUCAUCAGGGAAGAAAAUGACGGUACCUGACUAACAAGCUCCGGCUAAAUACGUGCCAGCAGUCGCGGUAAUACGUAUGGAGCAAGCGUGAUCCGGAUCUACUGGGUGUAGAGGGAGCGUACACGGAUCAGCUAGUCUGAUGUGAAAGCCUGGGGCUCAUCCCGGCAGUGCGUUGGAAACUGUUGGUCUUGAGUGCCGGAGAGGUAAGCGGAAUUCCUAGUGUAGCGGUGAAAUGCGUAGAUAUUAGGAGGAACACCAGUGGCGAAGGCGGCUUACUGGACGGUAACUGACGUUGAGGCUCGAAAGUGUGGGGAGCAAACAGGAUUAGAUACCCUGGUAGUCCACGCGGUAAACGAUGAAUACUAGGUGUUGGGCAGCAAAGCUGUUCGGUGCCGCAGCAAACGCAAUAAGUAUUCCACCUGGGGAGUACGUUCGCAAGAAUGAAACUCAAAGGAAUUGACGGGGACCCGCACAAGCGGUGGAGCAUGUGGUUUAAUUCGAAGCAACGCGAAGAACCUUACCAAGUCUUGACAUCUCCCUGACCGGCGCGUAAUGGUGCCUUUCCUUCGGGACAGGGAUGACAGGUGGUGCAUGGUUGUCGUCAGCUCGUGUCGUGAGAUGUUGGGUUAGGUCCCGCAACGAGCGCAACCCCUAUCUUCAGUAGCCAGCAUUCAGGAUGGGCACUCUGGAGAGACUGCCAGGGAUAACCUGGAGGAAGGUGGGGAUGACGUCAAAUCAUCAUGCCCCUUAUGACUUGGGCUACACACGUGCUACAAUGGCGUAAACAAAGGGAAGCAAUCUCGCGAGAGUGAGCAAAUCUCAAAAAUAACGUCCCAGUUCGAACUGCAGUCGGCAACUCGACUGCACGAAGCUGGAAUCGCUAGUAAUCGCGAAUCAGAAUGUCGCGGUGAAUACGUUCCCGGGGUCUUGUACACACCGCCCGUCA
rnacentral:rRNA from 1 species